AGGUUUGGAACAGACUUGGCAAAGAACAUGGAAACAUCCCUGAAUGAAAUGGCCCCAAACAUCAUCAGGAGUGCAAAAGAAGGAAGUAAAAAAAAAACUCUACGCCAAUCUCAUUGGACCCGCAGAGGAAAUCACAGAAGGUCUCGUUAGGAAUGCUGCACUCAUUUUAUUGCCAGCACUUUUUAAAGAAAACGCCAGCUUCCUCUACUGUGUAGAUAGUGAACCCAAAGGUCCUACACCAACCAUUGUGUUUAACGGCUCUCCUGAUCCCUUCAAGGCUGAAAGCGUCAGCAUUAUAAUGGACAAUGUGAACAUCAUAAGAGAGGCAGACAUCGACAUGACACAGGCUGUGGAAUGCCUGUUUGCAAUCUAUUUUCUUUUCAAUGUGCAAUACCCGGUUGACAUCAAGCACACAAUGACUUUUAUUCAAAAAUAUAUGCUUAAACUAAGACAAGAGCAUGACACAAGAACACCAAUACCUGUACUGAAAAUGUACAGUCAACUUGUGUGAAUUGUAGUGCCAUUUAAUAGAUGUUUUAAUUGUUCAUAUGUUGAUUUUA